rnacentral:rRNA from 1 species
UAACGCGUAUGCAACCUACCUAUCAGAGGGGAAGAACCCGGACCGAAAGUCGGACUAAUACCGCAUAAAACAGGGGCACCGCAUGGUGAUAUUUGUUAAAGAAAUUCGCUGAUAGAUGGGCAUGCGUUCCAUUAGGUAGUUGGUGAGGUAACGGCUCACCAAGCCGACGAUGGAUAGGGAACUGAGAGGUUGGUCCCCCACACUGGUACUGAGACACGGACCAGACUCCUACGGGAGGCAGCAGUGAGGAAUAUUGGUCAAUGGGCGGGAGCCUGAACCAGCCAAGUCGCGUGAAAAGGAAGAAGGAUCUAUGGUUCGUAAACUUCUUUUGCAGGGGAAUAAAGUGCAGGACGUGUCCUGUUUUGUGUGUACCCUGAGAAUAAGGAUCGGCUAACUCCGUGCCAGCAGCCGC